GCUUUUUAUGUCUUCAGAAAAGUUAGAUUAUUUUCAGUACAAAGUCAUACACACAGUGUUUUGUUCAUGAAUAAUGUGUAUUUAGAGGUUACUCAUGAGUGGAUGGUAUUGUUAAGAUGCACUUGUAAUUGUACUUUUUAGGAUGAUAUCAACAUUCUGAAUUCAACAUGUGGUUAAUAGCUAGCUAAGGUAUUAGCAGGCUAUUUAUUGUAUGUGUGAACGAUGGCUAGCUUCUCGAAUGAUCCCAGUCCCUCCUAUUGUGUAUCUGCUGUAGAAAGAGGCCACGAUUCGCAGAACAUAGGUGCUCUACAAAUGUUUUAUUUCCUUUUGGAUGCAGAUGCAGGAUGCAGAGAGUGAGUUCUGCUUGAUUAAAACUACCUGGUCUCCAAAGUC